UACGAAGGGGGCUAGCGUUGCUCGGAAUCACUGGGCGUAAAGCGCACGUAGGCGGCUUCUUAAGUCAGGGGUGAAAUCCUGGAGCUCAACUCCAGAACUGCCUUUGAUACUGAGGAGCUCGAGUCCGGGAGAGGUGAGUGGAACUGCGAGUGUAGAGGUGAAAUUCGUAGAUAUUCGCAAGAACACCGGUGGCGAAGGCGGGUCUCUGGGCCGAUACUGACGCUGAGGAGCGAAAGCGUGGGGAGCGAACAGG
rnacentral:rRNA from 1 species